CCUACGGGGGCUGCAGUGGGGAAUAUUGGACAAUGGGCGAAAGCCUGAUCCAGCCAUGCCGCGUGUGUGAAGAAGGCCUUCGGGUUGUAAAGCACUUUCAGUGGGGAAGAAAGCCUUGGGGCUAAUACCCUCGAGGAAGGACAUCACCCACAGAAGAAGCACCGGCUAACUCCGUGCCAGCAGCCGCGGUAAUACGGAGGGUGCGAGCGUUAAUCGGAAUUACUGGGCGUAAAGCGCGCGUAGGCGGUCUGAUAAGCCGGUUGUGAAAGCCCCGGGCUCAACCUGGGAACGGCAUCCGGAACUGUCAGGCUAGAGUGCAGGAGAGGAGGGUAGAAUUCCCGGUGUAGCGGUGAAAUGCGUAGAGAUCGGGAGGAAUACCAGUGGCGAAGGCGGCCUUCUGGACUGACACUGACGCUGAGGUGCGAAAGCGUGGGUAGCAAACAGGAUUAGAUACCCCGGUAGUC
rnacentral:rRNA from 1 species